rnacentral:lncRNA from 1 species
GUGCAAACAAACCGGUUUUUAUAGUUAGCAUGGCAUUUUGAAUGGAGUUUGAAGCCUAAAGGACACUAUUCUACUUGCAGAUGAAGAUGGGAAAUGUAACAUGAUCUUGGUUCCUGGCAUGAAUUCAGAGGAGCAUUUCCUGAUCUCGAGUACACUGAGACAUUCAUAAUUUCCCAUGAAAAUCAAUGAGAAAGGUAAUUGAUUUCUUCUAAGAUUCAGUUUCAUUAAAUCUGAUACCUGUUCCUUAAAGCUCAAUCUUAGGACAUAUUUGGAGCUUCUGGAAUAUCAAAAUCUUACAUUGAGUCACA